UACGUAGGUGACAAGCGUUGUCCGGAUUUACUGGGCGUAAAGAGCUCGUAGGCGGCUUGUCGCGUCGGCUGUGAAAUCCCGUGGCUCAACUGCGGGUCUGCAGCCGAUACGGGCAGGCUAGAGUUCGGUAGGGGAGACUGGAAUUCCUGGUGUAGCGGUGGAAUGCGCAGAUAUCAGGAGGAACACCGGUGGCGAAGGCGGGUCUCUGGGCAGUAACUGACGCUGAGGAGCGAAAGCGUGGGGAGCGAACAGG
rnacentral:rRNA from 1 species